CACAGUUAGCCGGACCACGGAGUGAAGCGGUCGUGUAGUGACGGUGUAUAAUGAAACUGUGAUAUUCUUAAUUCGAAAAUUUAAAUUAAUAAUUUUAUAAUAUUUUUUUUUAUUAAAAUGAAUUUAAUAUUCGUGGCCAUUUUGGCUGUCAGUGCCUGCGUUGUAAAUGGACAUAAGUUUCGGAACCCUAAAAAGAAUAAGGAAAAACUUACAUUAAAGGAUGAUGAAAAUGUUAUUGAAGAUGAACCAAAACCAAAAG